GCGGGCCCUGGUCGGACUAGGCUGCGCCGGCGAGUAAACAAGGAGAAAAGCGAAGCUCACAAAGACUCGGCGUGGAUGUGGGGUCUGCUAACUCCACUUCUAGCAACUCAUCCUUGGGAAAUGAUUCCUCGCGACCAAGAUCUAUUCAAGAGGGCCCUCACUGUGGUCACUUCGUGACAGCAUGGUCCACUGACAGUGUAGAGCGUUCCUUACUCGUUAUAAAUGGUCUGUACACGACUGGGAGGAAAUAGAACUGCCAACAAGGCUUCUCUCCAAGGGUCCACAAUAAAGGACUUUUGUGUUUUUCUUGA